UACGUAGGGUGCAAGCGUUGUCCGGAAUUAUUGGGCGUAAAGAGCUCGUAGGCGGUUUGUUGCGUCGGCUGUGAAAUCCCGAGGCUCAACCUCGGGUCUGCAGUCGAUACGAGCAAACUAGAGUGUUGCAGGGGAGACUGGAAUUCCUGGUGUAGCGGUGAAAUGCGCAGAUAUCAGGAGGAACACCGGUGGCGAAGGCGGGUCUCUGGGCAGUAACUGACGCUGGAGGAGCGA
rnacentral:rRNA from 1 species